GUCAGCCCGUGUCGUGAGAUGUUGGGUUAAGUCCCGCAACGAGCGCAACCCUUGAUCUUAGUUGCCAGCAUUAAGUUGGGCACUCUAAGGUGACUGCCGGUGACAAACCGGAGGAAGGUGGGGAUGACGUCAAAUCAUCAUGCCCCUUAUGACCUGGGCUACACACGUGCUACAAUGGAUGAUACAAAGGGUUGCGAAGCCGCGAGGUGAAGCUAAUCUCAUAAAAUCAUUCUCAGUUCGGAUUGUAGGCUGCAACUCGCCUACAUGAAGCUGGAAUCGCUAGUAAUCGCGGAUCAGCAUGCCGCGGU
rnacentral:rRNA from 2 species